rnacentral:rRNA from 1 species
CAGCCGCCGCGGUAAUACGGGGGGAGCAAGCGUUGUUCGGAAUCACUGGGCGUAAAGGGCGUGUAGGCGGUCAGGUAAGUGGGAUGUGAAAUGCCCCGGCUCACCCGGGGACCGGCAUCCCAAACUGCCUGGCUUGAGUAUGGGAGAGGAUGAGGGAAUUCCUGGUGUAGCGGUGAAAUGCGUAGAUAUCAGGAGGAACACCGGUGGCGAAGGCGCUCAUCUGGCCCAAUACUGACGCUGAGGCGCGAAAGCUAGGGGAGCAAACGGGAUUAGAUACCCCGGUAGUCCUAGCCGUAAACGGUGAUCACUAGGUGUUGGAGGCAUCGACCCCUCCAGUGCCGCAGCUAACGCAUUAAGUGAUCCGCCUGGGGAGUACGGCCGCAAGGUUGAAACUUAAAGGAAUUGACGG